CAGCGCCACGAGUGGUAACCACGUUUAUUGGGCCUAAAGCGUCCGUAGCCGGUUUGAUAAAUCUUUUGUGAAAUUGUACAGCUUAACUGUACAGCGUGCAAGAGACACUGUCAAACUUGAGACCGGGAGGAGUCAGAAGUAUUCCAGAGGGAGCGGUAAAAUGUUAUAAUCUCUGGAGGACUACCUGUGGCGAAGGCGUCUGACCAGAACGGAUCUGACGGUGAGGGACGAAAGCUAGGGGAGCGAACAGGAUUAGAUACCCUGGUAGUCC
rnacentral:rRNA from 1 species